rnacentral:rRNA from 1 species
UACGUGAGGUGCAAGCGUUGUCCGGAAUUAUUGGGCGUAAAGAGCUCGUAGGCGGUUUGUCGCGUCUGCUGUGAAAUCUGGAGGCUCAACCUCCAGCCUGCAGUGGGUACGGGCAGACUAGAGUGCGGUAGGGGAGAUUGGAACUCCUGGUGUAGCGGUGGAAUGCGCAGAUAUCAGGAAGAACACCGAUGGCGAAGGCAGAUCUCUGGGCCGUAACUGACGCUGAGGAGCGAAAGCAUGGGGAGCGAACAGG